UUUCGGCACCGCAAGCACGGUGCUCGCAUCGCGACCCCAGGUCAGGCAGGGAUUACCCGCUGAGUUUAAGCAUAUCAAUAAGCGAGAAAGAACUACAGUU
rnacentral:rRNA from 1 species